GGUAGUCCACCCCGUAAACGUUGGGAACUAGUUGUGGGGACCAUUCCACGGUUUCCGUGACGCAGCUAACGCAUUAAGUUCCCCGCCUGGGGAGUACGGCCGCAAGGCUAAAACUCAAAGGAAUUGACGGGGACCCGCACAAGCGGCGGAGCAUGCGGAUUAAUUCGAUGCAACGCGAAGAACCUUACCAAGGCUUGACAUACACCAGAACGGGCCAGAAAUGGUCAACUCUUUGGACACUGGUGAACAGGUGGCGCAUGGUUGCCGUCAGCUCGUGUCGUGAGAUGUUGGGUUAAGUCCCGCAACGAGCGCAACCCUCGUUCUAUGUUGCCAGCACGUAAUGGUGGGAACUCAUGGGAUACUGCCGGGGUCAACUCGGAGGAAGGUGGGGAUGACGUCAAAUCAUCAUGCCCCUUAUGUCUUGGGCUUCACGCAUGCUACAAUGGCCGGUACAAAGGGCUGCAAUACCGUGAGGUGGAGCGAAUCCCAAAAAGCCGGUCCCAGUUCGGAUUGAGGUCUGCAACUCGACCUCAUGAAGUCGGAGUCGCUAGUAAUCGCAGAUCAGCAACGCUGCGGUGAAUACGUUCCCGGGUCUUGUACACACCGCCCGUCAAGUCAUGAAAGUCGGUAACACCUGAAGCCGGUGGCCCAACCCUUGUGGAGGGAGCCGUCGAAGGUGGGAUCGGUAAUUAGGACUAAGUCGUAACAAGGUAGCCGUACCGGAAGGUGC
rnacentral:rRNA from 1 species